GACGAACGCUGGCGGCGCGCCUAACACAUGCAAGUCGAACGGAGUCAAGAGGAGCUUGCUUUUCUUGACUUAGUGGCGAACGGGUGAGUAACGCGUGAGUAACCUGCCCUGGAGUGGGGGACAACAGUUGGAAACGACUGCUAAUACCGCAUAAGCCCACGGAUCCGCAUGGAUCUGCGGGAAAAGGAUUUAUUCGCUUCAGGAUGGACUCGCGUCCAAUUAGCUAGUUGGUGAGGUAACGGCCCACCAAGGCGACGAUUGGUAGCCGGACGGCGAGGUUGAACGGCCACAUUGGGACUGAGACACGGCCCAGACUCCUACGGGAGGCAGCAGUGGGGGAUAUUGCACAAUGGGGGAAACCCUGAUGCAGCGCCGCCGCGUGGAGGAAGAAGGUUUUCGGAUUGUAAACUCCUGUCGUUAGGGACGAUAAUGACGGUACCUAACAAGAAAGCACCGGCUAACUACGUG
rnacentral:rRNA from 1 species